GCAAAGCGAUGAUGUGAAAGGUUGCGGCACACCCGGCCGCUUUGCCACGGGGUGUGACGGUAAUUUUCACGGAGUUAGUCUUAUUUUUAAAAUAGACGUAAGGAGGGAA
rfam:Lactobacillus silagei DNA, scaffold: sequence01, strain: IWT126.